GCCGGGAUGAUGGAAUUGGUAGACGUGUGAGAUUCAGGGUCUCAUGGGCAAUUGCGCCCGUAGGGGUUCAAGUCCCCUUCCCGGCA
rnacentral:tRNA from 1 species